rnacentral:piRNA from 1 species
UAAUAAAUAAGGGCAGACCAGAAUUAAUCA